GACGAACGCUGGCGGCGUGCUUAACACAUGCAAGUCGAACGCUGAAGCUUGGUGCUUGCACUGGGUGGAUGAGUGGCGAACGGGUGAGUAAUACGUGAGUAACCUGCCCUUGACUCUGGGAUAAGCCUGGGAAACUGGGUCUAAUACUGGAUACGACAUGCCACUGCAUGGUGGUGUGUGGAAAGGGUUUUACUGGUUUUGGAUGGGCUCACGGCCUAUCAGCUUGUUGGUGGGGUAAUGGCCUACCAAGGCGACGACGGGUAGCCGGCCUGAGAGGGUGACCGGCCACACUGGGACUGAGACACGGCCCAGACUCCUACGGGAGGCAGCAGUGGGGAAGAUUGCACAAUGGGCGGAAGCCUGAUGCAGCGACGCCGCGUGAGGGAUGACGGACUUCGGGUUGUAAACCUCUUUCAGCACGGAAGAAGCGAGAGUGACGGUACGUGAAGAAGAAGCGCCGGCUAACUACGUG
rnacentral:rRNA from 1 species